UUUAAAAUUUAAAAAAUCAAAACACUCUUCCUCGUUGUACUCUCUCCUACGCUACUUCGCCUCUCCUGGCCGUUUGGUUCCGGCGCCACUCCGAGCGAUUGACGAAAGCGUUCAUAUCAGCUGCCCCCUCGUUGCUCGUGCUCACGGUCUCGAUCUGGUGAUGGAUGAUUUAUUUUGGGAGUUAAGGUUCUUAUGCUGACUGAAAUUUAGGGUUUUGAGGAAAUUGCAGGGUCUAGUGUCGGGUUUCACUCCCUACCUGCAUAUUUGUAUUGUUUUUUUUUUUCCUUCUUCUUCUCGAGAGGUAUCGUUCAAAUUGAGGGAUUUUGUCAUUUCUUGUUCCCGGAAUUUGAAGUGAACAAAACUGCGCAUUUGUGGGCGUUUUUGGGCAAACUGGUGGGCAAAAGUUAGCUCCGUGACUCACUGUCCAUGUGAGAUCGGAGACACCUGUCACAGGAGAAAAUAAAUUCGAGGUUUUGAUUUCGACGGUGUAUAAGAGAACCAUUGGAGUAUAUGGCGAGUUUUCUAGGGUGAUACUUAUUUGAGAUUAUUGGAGGCAUCUUUAGCUCGAUAGUGCUUUCUGAAAGAUUUAGACGGAUGUUUCCUGCUGGAACCGAACGUACACAAGAUGCAGGUGGAAUUUCAGGUAGCUUGUUAAUUCCAUGGAACUUUGUCUGGCGUUAUGGUGGGAAUAGGGUUUUUGUGAUUGGCUCAUUUACAAGGUGGACUGAACGUGUAGAAAUGGUUCCCUUAGAGGGAGACCCUACUGUAUUUCAGGUUAUGUGGAGUUUGUCACCUGGCAUUCAUCAGUAUAUGUUCUUUGUGGAUGGUGCAUGGCGGCAUGAUGAGCAGCAACCUCAUAUGAUGAGUACUUAUGGGAUAGUUAACACUCUUAUUCUUGACCAAGACGCUAAUCAUGUACACACUCUUUUAAGUUCUGAGCUACCUGGUAAUAGAAUGAGCAUGGAUGUGGACCAUGAGAACUUCCGAAUUGUGGUGUCGAAUUUGAGGAUUUCAGAGGCUGAUAUUGGAAUAUCUCGUGAUUGCAUUUCUGAAUUCUUGUCUACCCAUUCUGCUUAUGAGUUGCUUCCUGAUUCAGGGAAGGUUAUAGCUCUUGAAGUCAGUUUGCCGGUAAAGCAAGCAUUCCAUAUCCUUUAUGAGCAGGGUAUUCCCGUUGCUCCCUUACUGGAUACUUGCAGUGGAGAAUUUGUUGGAGUACUCAGUCCAUUGGAUUUUAUAUUAAUUCUGAAAGAGCUUAGCAAUCGUGGCUCAAAUUUAACAGAAGAAGAACUCGAGACGCAUACUAUUUCUGCCUGGAAAGAGGCAAAGCAACAGCUAUCGAGUCAAAUGGUUUUGCAUGGACAGUCUCAGAGACAGUUAAUCCAUGCUGGGCCCUAUGAUUCAUUGAAAGAAGUAGCACUGAAAAUAUUGCAAAAUCGCAUCACGACAAUUCCAAUAGUUCGUUCAUUGUUGCAAGAGGAUUCUUUCCCACAUUUGCUUCAUCUUGCAUCCCUUUCGGGAAUAUUAAGAUGUAUCUGCAGACAUUUUAGGCAUUCAACUACUUCAGUGCCCAUUUUGCAACAAGCAAUAUUUACUAUUCCCUUGGGCACAUGGGUUUCUAGAAUUGGUGAAUCAAAUGGGAAUCAGCUGGCAAAGUUGAAACCAAAUGAAUCACUAAGUCGCGCUCUUACACUCUUGGUGGAAGCUGAAGUUAGUUCGAUACCAAUAGUUGAUGACAAUGACCGUUUACUAGACACAUAUUCUAGAAGUGACAUCAUAUCUUUGGCUAAAGACAAGGUUUAUGCACGAAUUCACCUGGAUGAAACAAGUAUUUACCAGUUAAAUUUCAGGCAUUGCAGCUCAGAAACAAUGCAAGUCCAUCUCAUGGAUCUGUAACCGGGCAGCGCUUCCAUACAUGUCUCCGCUCGGAUUCUCUGCUGAAAGUAAUGGAACAAUUGGCAACUCCUGGGGUGCGACGUGUGAUUAUUGUGGAAGCUGCAACUAAUCACGUCGAAGGCAUAAUCUCUCUGAGUGAUGUAUUCAGAUUCCUGUUCAGCAUGCCAUAAGUGAACAAAAUCGUUCAUUGGAUCAUUUAAUUCUCUGCCAAAGUUGCUUAGCCCACGGCUUUUAGAAACACUAAUGAAAUUAUUUGUGCAAAUGUUCUCCCCCUCUUGUUUUCGGUCUUGAUUUCAAUAGGCCCCAUUGUUUAGAUCCUGGCCUCUCCAAUUCCAUACCAAGAUCUGUAGAUGAGAUGAACUAGUUUUGAUUCCUUUCCAAUAGUUUAAUGCCAAUGGUUCACCAUAUAUAUCUUGAACACAUGAGACUAUGGAAUACCAUUAAUGUUAUAGCCAAACAGCAUUAUGUUGAUUUA